rnacentral:SRP_RNA from 1 species
GCUGAGUUGAGUGGCGUCAACUUGUGACAGGAAGCUUCUGCCUGAGCGAUGGUACUAUCUCUUCGGGCCAAUGCUUGAAACUUCUAUAACCAAGGUGUAGAUGGCAUGUCCAUUCCAAACCAGGGGUAGACAUUGGAAGUCCCACGUAAGUGGUACUGUCAAGGUCUCUAAGGAAGGGCGUAACGCCUCAGGCUGGCUAACAGAGCAGGGAAAAGCCCUCGCUCUUGGUAGUGGAAGGAUCGCGUGCCUGAAUCUUGAGGUGGUUACAAGCAUUGACUGAAGUGAGAGUGCCUUUUU